CAUUCUCACGAGAAAGUGCGCCGUCUUCCGACUUUCACGUCACGCGUUCGCUUAGAGGAUUCUCAGAGCGGCGAGUGAACAUAAAAUCCCCCAAAAGAUUUCCCAGACAAUUUUAGUACUCGCGCCUAAAUUUAGACUAACCAGGGUCAAGAAGUCAAAGGGAGAGAUCAGGAAAAAGCGAAUUCCUGCAAAAAAGAAGUGCAGCCAUUAUUGUCUUGACAACGGAAGCCGUAUGCGCUUCUUGUUCUGACACCCAUCACGUCCACCUGCGGAAGAAGCCCUCGGAACAUUUGCAAAUACAGCAGUGAUCACAACCCUACGCUCCGGCCUCUAAAUAAAGCUUCUUCCAGGAAAUAGAGCCAGAAGGAAGCAGUGCAUGCACGAGGAAGAGGCUGACAUCCACCAAUGAGAUGGGGCAAGUCUUCCAGCAAGACAGGUGCCCUGAACAUUACGUCAUAUCCCAGGCAGGAAGGAAGGUGAUUGUAUCCUUUUUCAUCACAAAUAGAUGCACAGCUGUGAUACUGAUCGUCUUACAGAAAUUCAGGGAGACAAGGAUGGCCCUGCUUAAUGGACAAAUUGUUUAUUUUUUACGUAGGAAACAUGUCAGAAAUUCCCUCAGGGGAAUUGAAAACACAACAAAUGAUUUUGGCUGCAGUGCUUUUCAGAAAAUGCAGUUUAUAUUCAAAAAUUAAUAAGAAAGAACCUUUCACAAAAUCUUCUUCCGGGAAAUUUCCUGAAAAUCAAUUAACCAAACUCGAAAAACUCAUCUCUGUCACGUGCAUUUUUGAAACGCAAACGAUUACUAUACUUUGCUGCAUCUAGCUGCGGAUACAACGUAUGGAACAAUUCUGACUAAUUAUGACUGUUGAACGAUUCCACAACUGGCAUGGGAGGAGGCUGCUUGGCAGAGAAGGCAAGAGUGUCAGUGUCCUCUGGUUGCCCAGCACUUUGUUGUGUACCAGGCAACAGUAUCAUGUAAACAGUCAUUAUACAUUCACACAGGUUUAACGCCUGGGCAGGGGUGUUAAAUGGUCAGGGCAACCGCAUGUCACACCGACACGCAAGAUGAUAAAUCUUCCAAAGAAGUCUCCAGGCAUGACAUCCUCCUGCUUCCCCAAGCGUGGCGGAGAGACUUGGACUGCUGUGCUGUAUCAGUUCACAUACAGGAAAAUAGUAUCCUUGGGAAGAAGGCUUCAAAGUGUAUUGCAAUUCAGAAUGGUGUUAAAAAAAAAACUGCCAAAUGCCAAAAUGUCAUGCUUGAGCAAACAGACUUUAGAAUUUGGCCUAAUAUAAAUGAGAACAAACUUAAGUUGAGGUUUAUACUGAAUGAGUACUGGAGAUUGUAAUAGAUAUACAGGGAGAGACUCCAGCCUCAAUGUAUUAUACAGUUAGAGGUGUGGUGGUAUAUACUGAGAUCAUAGAAAUUGUUUUUAGUGAUGAUGCCUCAGCAGCACACAGUUGUAAAGACAAUGGUCUGGAUUCAAUCAAUGUUUCAUUACUUUAACUUGCUAGUAAAUGCCAGUGUUUAUUUAUUUAUUUCUUUAUUCACCGACACGGUUCGGAAAGUUCAGCCAUCGCUGAAAUUAAAUCAAAUUAUGUUCGUGACCAAAAAUGUUUUACAGCAUUUAUUUGUAAGACAGGCAAAUUUUAGUUGAAUUUAGGCCAGUGUUUUAACG